rnacentral:lncRNA from 1 species
CUUGUCAGCAAAGACAGCGAGACCCAAUGUCCUGCUGGAUAGCUGUCUGGUGGCACAGGGUGGCGAGGACCUAAGCCAAGCAGGUGGGAGCGAGCACCAGACGGCCUCACCCCAGGAGUUGCAGGAAGAGGCGGUGGCCACUGGCUCAGGAGGUGGGUAUGCGGUGGGGGUGUGGGGCUGUACAGAAUGUCCAGGAUGCUUUCAGGCUGGGGGCAGCCUGGGCCCGGGGCACCCCCUCCCCCAUCUCCACCCUCCCUCCACCCUCCACCUGCCCCGUCCUCAGGCAAAACUCAUCCUCGGUGCCUUGGGGCCACAUUAGCAGAGGCUGGUGACAGAUUUCAAAGGCCCCAGGGGAAUUGCACUGAGAGCCCCCAGGAUGCCCAAUGGGCCUGGGGAAACCCUGCUCCUCUCCUGCCACCCCUCCCUGGGAGGGCAGCUCUCCAGGCCCCCACCCAGGGAAGGUUGGGCUCAAAUGUAGCAGAGAAAAUUGGGACAGAGCUUGCCAGGGGCAUGUCCUAGGCUCCCCAUCUCUUGACGAGCUCUUUCUUACUGCUAAGAUCCCCAGAUCGUACCCAGAACACGCACUUUGCUAUUAUUUACCGCCCUCCCCCAAAUCCUGAGAACUCCAGGGACGGCGCAGACACAGUCUAGGGGAGCCGAGCAUGGCUGGGCCACGCAGCCCGGGACAGACAGACAUGGGGCCAGGCUUCACCAGUCUCCAUGUUCCUCAAGCCGCCGGUGCUCCAGCCGCCCUGUGAGGCGACAGACCAUUUUACAGAUGAGAAAACUGACGCUUCAUGUGGGCGGCAUUUGGCUAAGCGGGCAAGGGCACAGACCUGUAUUUCACUCCUGGCUCCUUCCUCUUCCUUGCUGUGUGACCCCGAGCCAGUUCUGUGACCUCUCUUAACUAAGGCUCCCCAAAUCAAGAAAGACGGGGCAAAAACAGUGCCUACCUGACAGGGUUGUUGGGCAGGGGAGGGGUGACAACGCGUCGAAGGCAUCCAGCACCGGGGCUGGCACCGAGGGAGGAGGCCAUGUGGCACCACGAUGCUCGUGUUCCCAGUCAGCCAGCGGCUGAGCUGAGCUGACCCUGAUGUCCUAACCCCACGUGUCCUG